UGAGAUAUUUCGACUUAUCGUCUGACUGAUGUUAUGAAGUACGCUGCUGUUUGCAGAAUUACCGGACUUGUGUCGUCCCGUCCGCGGGAG